ACAAAAACUACUGUAGAAGUCUGACUUUCCUAAAACAUUUUAUAUGCAUGCCUAAUAAGAAUGAUGAAUUGCCUACAAAAAAAAAAUAUUUUGACAUACAUUUCUGCCUAUAUCAAGUUUUCUUUAUAAACUACAUUAAUGCAAUACCAUCAUGUCAACUACAUCAUCAUCAAUCAUUCAUGAUUUUAAAGUCCUUGCAGCAAUCCUUUCUUUGUAUGUUAGAAAGUAAGAGUCUAUUGGUCAGUUCAUGUCUAAACGUCUGAGAAUCGUUCCUUUAUAGUGGCCUGCUCCAUCUGGAUAUGUCUUUUUGAUUGUUGCUAGCACACAAGCAGGAAGCUGUACUCUAAUAUCCUUGCCAAGGAUUGCCCAGCACCACCUUACAAAUUGCCGGUAUGUUACAUAUCUGUACUUCCUGUAUGGGAUGAGAAAACAUUAUUUAAAGGUCUAAACGUCUGAGAAUCGUUCCUUUAUAGUGGCCUGCUCCAUCUGGAUAGGUCUUUUUGAUUGUUGCUAGCACACAAGCAGGAAGCUGUACUCUAAUAUCCUUGCCAAGGAUUGCCCAGCACCACCUUACAAAUUGCCGGUAUGUUACAUAUCUGUACUUCCUGUAUGGGAUGAGAAAACAUUAUUUAAAGGUCUAAACGUCUGAGAAUCGUUCCUUUAUAGUGGCCUGCUCCAUCUGGAUAGGUCUUUUUGAUUGUUGCUAGCACACAAGCAGGAAGCUGUACUCUAAUAUCCUUGCCAAGGAUUGCCCAGCACCACCUUACAAAUUGCCGGUAUGUUACAUAUCUGUACUUCCUGUAUGGGAUGAGAAAACAUUAUUUAAAGGUCUAAACGUUUGAGAAUCGUUCCUUUAUAGUGGCCUGCUCCAUCUGGAUAUGUCAUUUUGAUUGUUGCUAGCACACAAGCAGGAAGCUGUACUCUAAUAUCCUUGCCAAGGAUUGCCCAGCACCACCUUACAAAUUGUAUUCUAUGGUCAUCACCUACAUGGCUGCUAAGGUUUGCAAUUCAUUGACAAAUUAAAUUAUCAGGUCUUAAAAAUUACUAGUUCAAAUCUUAGGUUCAAAAUAUAUAGGUUAAUUUCCAUCAUUUUCUACAUUUGUGUCCAAACUGGCAAACAAGAGGCUAGCAAUAUAACAUUUGUAUGAAAUGGCAAACAAAUGGGGGAAGUAUGUAUAUUGAGCUGCAAAAUAGAGAAUAUACAGUGUUUUAAUAUAUUCCAAAACCAA